GUCACUUCAUUAAUGCAAAUAUGCAGUUGUGUUCAUCAGUGUAAGGAGUACAAUACUUUCCACGGAAUCACACUGCUGACAAUUUGGCCCAGGUCAAAAGGGGCAUGAUGGAGGACUGGGCCAUAAACAACAAAGUAAAGUCUUAUGACCCGUGGCAGCAUUUGGAUGAUGGGGUGGGGAGACUGAAAAGAAGUGCAACAGCAGAUGCUAUAUCUGAAGUCCAGCGAUACCUGGCA